CUCCCUGGCACCCAUCCAUUCUUCUUGGAACAGUAACCUUCCUUCUGUUGGCACAUUGAUUGCCCCACUCUAGUCAUGUGGUUCCAAUGUGGGCCAGAGAUCGUGUCCCUCACCAUUCGUGUAGAGUUGGAUACAUCACUCAAGCCAGGGCAAAGGGAGAUUCUGCAAAUUGGAAUUAAGAGAAGGGGCUCAGUCCUCUGAGAGAGACUUCCCUCAGUUGGUCUUCCCUGGUGGCUCAGCAGUAAAGAAUCCACCUGCCAAGUAGGAGAUGUGGGUUCAAUCCCUGGGCCGGGAAGUUCCCCUGGAGAAGAAAAUGGCAGCCCACUCCAGUAUUCUUGCCUGGGAAAUCCCACAGACAGCGGAGCCUGGCAGGCUACAGUCCAUGGGGUCACAAAAAAUUGGAUUUGACUUGCAACUAAACAGCAACAACCCUCUCAGAUGGCAAAACUGUGAGAUGGAGCCAGAAACUGCAGGUUUCUGUUCCUAGCAACUGAAAAAGUACUGUCUGACCCAGAAAUCCUGAGUUGUCUCUUGGAGGCCACUGUGUCCAGAUACAAGGCUACUCCUGGUCCUGGGCUUCUCAAAGGUCCAGCUUCCCUGGAACAGCUGUUUACUUCACAUGUUGUUUCGUCUAUGUUUAUAGUUUGCCAAGUGGAAGUUUAAAUUGUCCUUCACAAUGACACUUUGAGGGGGACAGGGCAAGGCAGGGUUAUCCCUAUUCUGCAUCAAGGACACUGGGGUAAAGUCACAGCACGACUCACCCCAAAUCACAUAGUUUGGGAGAGGAAGAGCAAGGUCUUGAACCCAAGAUAUGGCUAGGACUCUUUCUACUAUGCUAGGCUCUCUGUCCACUUGGGCAAGAGCAUUGGGCUGGCUCAGAAUAUGUUGCUCAUUCAUUCACCAAAUACCAUGGAGCCUGCACUAGGCCAAGCACCCUUCUCAGAGCAAGGUACAUUGUUGGACAAGACACAGACUCUGUCUUCACAAAGCUGAUGAUCCAGAAUGGAUAAGACCAGUAAACAGGCAUUUAGAAUAAAGUGUGGUCGAUGUGGUGGUAGGGGAAGUACAGGGUCCUUCUGCAGCUGAUGAGAGGGGCAUUGAACCUGAGCUGAGUUAGAAGAGGCUUCUCAGCAGGAUCACUGGAGCCCAUGUGGCACCAUUUUAUGAAUCAGCAAAGCAAGAUGCCUUUCCUCAAAACACGUGACAACCAACUGCUGGAAAAUUGUCAUAAAAAUAUGUAAAUCUGUAAUAUCUAUGCUGUGACACAUCCCAGGUAUGUGCAGUGUGCAACCUGCACAGCCUUGUGAGGCACCUGCUUCCCAGGGAAAUCCGAUUUAAGCUGAGACCCAAAGGCUAAGAGUGAGUUAGCAGACUCCCUACCUGGAGGCCCAGGCAUAAACUGGGUCUGCUGCCAAACUAUUUAUUUAUUUAGGUAACUCAGUCCUCCCAUGGC
ensembl:lncRNA